UACAGAGGUCCCGAGCGUUGUUCGGAUUCACUGGGCGUAAAGGGUGCGUAGGUGGCUUGAAAAGUUUGAUGUGAAAGCUCAGGGCUUAACCCUGAAAUGGCAUUGAAUACUGUCGGGCUGGAGGUUUGGAGGGGGACUGGAAUUCUUGGUGUAGCAGUGAAAUGCGUAGAUAUCAAGAGGAACACCAGUGGCGAAGGCGAGUCCCUGGACAACACCUGACACUGAGGCACGAAAGCUAGGGGAGCAAACAGG
rnacentral:rRNA from 1 species